GACGAACGCUGGCGGCGUGCUUAACACAUGCAAGUCGAACGGAAAGGCCCUGCUUUUGUGGGGUGCUCGAGUGGCGAACGGGUGAGUAACACGUGAGUAACCUGCCCUUGACUUUGGGAUAACUUCAGGAAACAGGGGCUAAUACCGGAUAGGAGCUCCUGCUGCAUGGUGGGGGUUGGAAAGUUUCGGCGGUUGGGGAUGGACUCGCGGCUUAUCAGCUUGUUGGUGGGGUAGUGGCUUACCAAGGCUUUGACGGGUAGCCGGCCUGAGAGGGUGACCGGCCACAUUGGGACUGAGAUACGGCCCAGACUCCUACGGGAGGCAGCAGUGGGGAAUAUUGCACAAUGGGCGGAAGCCUGAUGCAGCAACGCCGCGUGCGGGAUGACGGCCUUCGGGUUGUAAACCGCUUUCGCCUGUGACGAAGCGUGAGUGACGGUAAUGGGUAAAGAAGCACCGGCUAACUACGU
rnacentral:rRNA from 1 species